ACCGUGGGCGACGACACCUCAUGCAGAUCUUGGGUUGACCCGUGGCUGGAGGGCAGCUCCAUCUCAUCCCUUGCCCCAUCGCCGACGGCCCUAGUCCCGGCCAGGAGGCGGCACACCCAUAUGGUGGCCACGACUCUCCUGAACCGCACUUGGAUAGCGGACAUCCAAGGAGCGCUUGGGCCGGCCACCGUCCUCGAGUAUGUGGACAUCUGGCGGCGGCUUCAGCACGUCGUGCUCUCCUCGCAGCCAGAUGUUAUUCAUUGGGGCUGGACUGCGAAUGGCAUCUACUCGGCUUCAUCCUGCUAUGCUGGCUUGUUUGAGGGAUCCAUAGCCUCCGAGCACUGGCGUCUCAUGUGGAAGUCUGGUGCUAUUCUGUCGGUGAAAUUCUUCCUGUGUCUGGCCUCUUUAAACCGCUGCUGGUCCGCCGACAGGCUCGCCCGACGGGGCCUGCCACAUGAGCCGACCUGCGUCCUCUGCCUGCAGGAGCCUGAGACCCUUCAUCACAUCCUUGUGGGCUGUGUCUUUGCGAGAGUCACCUGGCACGAGGUGCUCUCCUUGUGUCGAACGAUGGCACAACCACCAGAUGGCUCUUCCGCCUUCUUCAACUGGCUGUCCGCCGCUCUCCUCACCAUACCGGCUGCCGACCGCCGUGGCCUCACUACCAUGGCCGGUUCCACGGCAUGGACAAUGUGGCGCCAUCACAACUCAGUCAUCUUCGACAAGAUUACUCCCGCCACAUCAACUGUCGUUGAUGCUAUCAAGGACGAGGCUCGCUCCUGGGCAAAUGUCGGAGCCAAAGGACUGAAUGGUUUCAUCCCUGUAACCUGA
rnacentral:rRNA from 1 species